ACACAAAAGGGAUAAACGGAGUGAAAAGUUGGACUGGACGGAGCAAUGCCAGUGAGCGGUUGAGGCGGUGAAACAGGCUCUCUGUGGGGAACCACUGCUCCAACACAUAACUUUUCUCUCCCUUUUAUCUUGCAGACUGAUCCAUCGAACAGAGGGCUGGGGGCGGUUUUGUCCCAGCAGGUGCAGGGGGUGGGCCGCCCGGUCCUCUACAUCAGGCGGAAACUAUCCGAGAGAGAGGCCAGGUACAGUAUGGUUGAGAAGGAGUGCCUGGCCAUCCUGUGGGCGACUCCCUGCGCUACUACCUCCUGGGACACCAACUCACCCUCUGUUCGCCUCGCCCCAAUGGAUCCACCGCAUGAAGGAUACUAACGCCCGGAUCACUCGGUGGGAUCUGGCUCUACAGCUGUUUAACUUCAAGGUGGUCCAUAGGCCGGGGGCGCAGAUGGUCAUGGCUGACUCCCUCUCUCGCCCACAGGAGGGAGAGGGGGGUGGGGGGAGUUGGCCCAAGUCAGGCGGUGGGGGUGUGUGGUGGCGGGGUGUGGUUAGCUCAUCUGCAGAGGGGAGAGCGGUUCAGGGAACGGUGCCGGCAGGUAAGGUAAGGUAGCACAACUGGGCAACAUCAUGACUGAUUUUCUCCCCUUAAAACAGUGAGCAGGACUCGAAUGGGGGAGAGAGACUGAAGCAGGUCCUCAGGGGCAAGGGAGCGGACAUUAGGAAAAUAUUUGUGUUAUUGUAGCUAACAAUGGUUUACAGAACUGAUUGUUUUUAUAUGGGGCAAUUUGGAAUAAGUGAAUAUGGGAUAAAGUGGCAUAUAUCUAUAUAUAAUAGUAGCCAAUUAAAUGCAAUCACCAGGUUUUCUUUUUCUGUUAAUCCUUGCUUCCACCGUGCAGCUAUUUAAAACUUUAACGUAGACCAUUACCCUUUACCCCGUCAAUGAGCCAUGUAGGUGGAGGAGGUUUGGAGGAAUACAGAGUUCACUGUGCCGUCUCAUGGGGAAUCUAAAGAGGGAGCCACAGAGGAUAUCCAGGUACUCUUGGAUGACGGCAUCAUAAAUGUAGGCACGUUGUCAUCUUCUCGCUACGUAGCUCCCGUCAAGUACAGGGUGGACAAAUGGCUGAGACAGCUGACCCUCUUCAACCAAACCCUGGAUGAGUGGCUUACAUGACAAAGAAACUGGCUUUAUCUACAGAGUAUAUUUUGUGGCCCCAGACGUCAAAAGGCAGCUUCCUGCUGAGUCCAAGAUGUUUCAAAAGGUGGACAAAUCAUGGAAGGAGAUAAUGGCAAGGGCCAAUACGAGGCCUAAUGCCCUUGAAGCAGCCACACAGCCCGGUUCAUCUUAUCUAAUGACGAGCUGCUGAAGAUCUUGGCCCAGACAAGAAACCCCCAAGCAGUGCAGCCUCACCUUCGGAAGUGUUUUGAUGCCAUUACCCGACUAGAGUUUGCUUUGCUACCCAAAUCCUCUGGGACCAAGACAUCCUGUACAUGGUUUCCCCUGAUCGAGAGAAGGUGGCUUCGACUCAAGGUCCUAAGGCACAAGGCACUGUGGAGGAUUGGCUUUGCAAGGUGGAGGAGGCUAUGUUCAACUCGUUGCGCUCCCUCAGUAAGGCUGCCAUCGCUGACUACCAGGUGAAGUCUAGAGAGGGAUGGAUGCUGGCCGGACAUCCAUCGCAGGUGGUGCUGACCAUCUCACGGUUGAUGUGGUACAAAGAGAUGGACGCUUGGCUGGAUGGAGACCACGACCACUUAGCUGCCUCGCAGGAAUUCAAACUAACUAACUAACUUUGAUAGGGUGAAUGCCUUGGCGGCAUUGAUUCGUAAUAUCAUCACUUAGGCCCAUCAUAAUCAUAUAAGCCCUCAUCACCAUCGAUGUCCAUGCCAGAGAUAAAGUCAUAGAUGUAGUCCGCCAGAAGGUGGACAACAGGGAUAACUUUGAAUGGCAGACGCAGUUGCGCUACUAUUGGGACCUGGACCAGGACAACUGUGUUGCCAAAAUGGCCCUGUCCACUUCCAUUUACGGCUAUGAAUAUCUGGGAGCCUGUCCUAGACUGGUUAUAACAUAUCUUAUGGACCUUUGCUAUUUGUGCCUGAUGGGGGCUCUCCAAUUAGACCUUGGAGGAGCACCAGCCGGGCCAGCAGGACCGGCAAAACAGAAACCACCAAGGACUUGGCUACGGCCCUGGCAGUUCAAUGUGUGGUCUUUAACUGCUAGGAUGGACUUGACUACAAGAUGAUGGGGCGCUUAUUUAGCGGUCUUGCUCAGUCAAGUGCUUGGGUUUUUUUCCGACGAAUUCAACCAAAUUGACAUGGAAGUGUUGUCUGUCAUCGCUCAGCAACUCAAAACCAAACGAAAUGCCAAAGCGGAUAAGUUUGGGCUCAAUAAUUUCCUGAGUGCGGGCGGAUGAGGUCUGAGCCGAGAAGUUAAUGCAGACUGGGAGGCAUCCUGCCCUUUCCUGAAUACCGUUCAGAAGGCCCUGAGCCACCACUGACUAAACGUACUGAUGGCGAUCCAGAGACGGACACGGGAGUCUGUCUGAGAGACACAACCAGCAAUAGAAGAAUAAAAGUAUUCAGAGCAAACCUGCCGUGUCCUAUUCCAGACCCCCAAGAGUACCUGCGUGUUACAGUGGCGCCCAACGUGGGGCUGGAUAGGCCGUUCGCCUACAGGGAGCGGCUGAAGGACGCAAGGCCGAAAUGAAAACCUGCUUACAAGCACUGAUAAAAUAAACGGAUUCCGUUUAAAGAUGCAGCUCUGGCAACAACAUGUGCAGCGUGGCAACCUUGAGAUGUUCCUGCCCACCGAGAAACGUCACGAUGGCAACACUGCUGCAAUGUGCGAGGUGACCUACUACCUACAGACGGAAUCCUCAUUCAAAGCAACGACCUGA